UACGAAGGGGGCUAGCGUUGUUCGGAUUUACUGGGCGUAAAGCGCACGUAGGCGGAUCGUUAAGUCAGGGGUGAAAUCCUGGAGCUCAACUCCAGAACUGCCUUUGAUACUGAAGAUCUUGAGUCCGGGAGAGGUGAGUGGAACUGCGAGUGUAGAGGUGAAAUUCGUAGAUAUUCGCAAGAACACCAGUGGCGAAGGCGGCUCACUGGCCCGGUACUGACGCUGAGACGCGAAAGCGUGGGGAGCAAACAGG
rnacentral:rRNA from 1 species